AUGCUCGCUUCGGCAGCACGUAUACUAAAAUUGGAAUGAUACGGAAGAUUUAGUAUGGCCCUGGUGCAAGGAUGACACACAAAUUCAUGAAGCAUGCUUUACUUUU